rnacentral:rRNA from 1 species
GUAGCGGCGAGCGAACGGGGAGCAGCCCAGAGUCUUAAUCAGCAUCAGCAUCAGGAGAACGGUCUGGAAAGGCCGGCAAUAAAGGGUGAUAGCCCCGUAUCCGAAGGUGUUGGUGUUGUGAACUCGAUGAGUAGGGCGGGACACGUGUUAUCCUGUCUGAAUAUGGGGGGACCAUCCUCCAAGGCUAAAUACUCCUGAUUGACCGAUAGUGAACCAGUACCGUGAGGGAAAGGCGAAAAGAACCCCGGCGAGGGGAGUGAAAUAGAACCUGAAACCGUGUACGUACAAGCAGUGGGAGCCCCACCACUAAGCCAGUGGUGAGUCAUCACAGCGUCAUCCUUACUUGAUGGCGGUUGGCGGAACGUCCUUUGUGACGCCCAACCCAAAAAAUCAAGCAAAGGGGGCUUAGUGGUGGGGUGACUGCGUACCUUUUGUAUAAUGGGUCAGCGACUUAUAUUCUGUAGCAAGGUUAACCGAAUAGGGGAGCCGUAGGGAAACCGAGUCUUAACUGGGCGAAUGAGUUGCAGGGUAUAGACCCGAAACCCGGUGAUCUAGCCAUGGGCAGGUUGAAGGUUGGGUAACACUAACUGGAGGACCGAACCGACUAAUGUUGAAAAAUUAGCGGAUGACUUGUGGCUGGGGGUGA